CGGAAGAGAAACAUGCUUUUGACACUUUAACUUAAAAUUCAUCGCAAUCACACAUUUAAAAUAUCAGUAAACACUGAAUCAAAAUGAGAUUUAACACUCUCGUAUUCUUAGAACUGAAUUCGAAUAUUUGAUUACGUUGAAGAGGUCUUAUCACACAAAUUUUCUGAUGAUAUUUUAUUUAUUUAUCAUAAACUAGAGGAUAAGAGGAAGAUAUGUGAUUGACUCCAUCAUAAGAAACCUAAGAAGGAAUGCUUUGACUUUAGGAAGCAAAGCAAUGAAGCACCAUGUUUCUAACAUUUCUAAGAUCAUGCCGACCUUGCCUUGGGCGUGAUCCAAGCUUUCCUUGCACAUUGCGUUCUCAUGCUCAACUUUUUCCAUGAUUCUUUGGCAACUGGCUUUUAGCCAAACAUCGUAGUCGGGGAAUCGUCGUCUUCGACGGAGCGGAGAAAGGGAAAAUGUGAGCUUUUUCUGGUUUAUAUGAACGAAAUGCAAAUGCAUGAAUGUAUGAAUAUAUUUUUAGUUUUCAGGGAAUCCAGGAAUUGUCGUCAAUUGUAGAGUAUGAAAGUAAAGACAGAAGGGGAAACCAGUAUGGGAAAAAGAGAAAAAAGUUUAUGUAUUUAUGAACUGAAUAACAGAGAAGAAGAAGAGAACCAUAAUUAACACAUUCAUCACAAGCAAGACAAAGAAAGUUCAAGAACGGUAAAUAUGCAAUGAAUCACAAAGGAGUUCAAGGUUUACCAACGGAGGGGAGGAUUCCUCUGGUUAUUGUUGCAAAGAAUCGUCGGUGAAUUUACCGAAGAGAAACUCGGAGAACUUCAAGAGAAACUCCUUUAAUCCAAUCAAUCGUUUGAUAAU